GCGAGAGUGCUGGAAUUGGCAGACAGGCACGUUUGAGGGGCGUGUGUCCGCAGGGCAUACGGGUUCAAGUCCCGUCUCUCGCA
rnacentral:tRNA from 1 species